rnacentral:rRNA from 1 species
GAAGCGUCUUCCGCGCUGGACCGUGCACAAGUCUCCUGGAAUGGAGCGUCAUAGAGGGUGAGAAUCCCGUCUUUGGCACGGACUCCCGGUGCUUUGCGAUGCGCUCUCGAC